GUUUUCUCAAUUUUUUCCAAAAAUGGACUUACACCACUUUCAAAAUAAACGGUCCAUAUUAUCUAAAUCUGUGCAAUGGGACUAUAUAUUUAUUAAAAUAUACAGCCUCACAGCACAUUCAACUGGAUUGAUUGGGUUCAAACACAGGCAAUUCAGAGGACCCAGGAUCAAAUUAAAACUUUUGGAAAAUUUAUACACUAGGUCAAGGAAGUUUUUGGUUCAUUUAAUGUUGCGAUUUUCAGGAACCUGACUUUACUGUUAAACAAGAAUGCAUUGUACUUUGCAAUUUGAAAAGUCCAUGACCAGAUAAUGAAAAAUGUUAUUUUUCUAUAAGUUUUGUAUAUGAAUAAGCUACUUUAGAUAAAUUUUAUAAUUUUUUUUUAAACAAAAAUAUAGAUUUUUAAGAAAUUGUAAAUAUUUGAAAUGGAG
rnacentral:lncRNA from 1 species